rnacentral:lncRNA from 1 species
AAAAAAAAUUUUGUAGGUGAACGCAAUAUCUUUUUAUUUGUUUUUUCUUUUUCUUUUUUUUAAUUUUAAUUUUAUUUAUGUGGCGCUGAGGAUCGAACCCAGGGCCUCACACGUGCAACAUGAGUGAGUGCUCUACCGCUGAGCCCCAGUCCCAGCCCCCCACACAAUAUCUUAUUUGAUCUCCUGACAGCUCUCUGUGACAUAUGAUUAUGAUUCCCAUUUUUAGAGAUGAAGAAAAUGGGGUUAAGUGCCUGCUCUUAGGUGAUACAGGUAGGCAUGGUGGAGGGAGGACCAUUUCUUCUCAUCUCGAUGCCAGCAUCUGUCCUACUCUGCUUGGGGGUCCUGUUCCACUGUAGGCCUCCAUGUGUAAGUUGUCUUGGCUCUCUUUCUACCCACUGCUAUUGUGCUGCCUCCAACAAGUGAUGGAAUGGAUCGUUGCUGCAUCCCAGGUGAUGAAGGAGGAGAGGCCGAGGACCAGGAUGCAGUCUUCUCUCCUAUAACCACAGACUCUGCGAUGCAACCCAGCUAGGGAUGUGAGGAUUCCACCCAUCACUCGUGGGACUUUUGUACUGGCUGGCUCUGGAGUGCUCCAGGAAUGUCAUGCCUUUUAUCAGAAGGCAGUCAGCCUCAUGUGAGAAAGACUGGGAUAGCCAAACCAAAUAGAGAAUGACUCUCCCUCUGAUGUGUGAACUGAUCAAUAUAAUCAAUAAGUCAUAGACAUAGAUAACAGAUAAGCAACAGACAUAGUUUAUAGAUAAGUUCAUCAGGAGUAAGCCUAAGUAAUAGUAAUAAAAUCAUGAAACUGUAAGACAUAGGAUUUAAGCCACAGGAAAAAGAUGGAACAGCGAAAGGUGAUAAGUCAGUAUGCCAGUACAGUUAUAGAUACAUAUAGGCUGAUUGGUUAGUAUAGAUAUAGACAAGGUUAAGUCAAUAUAGUUGUGAACAAUUGUAUUAGCUUGAUCAUGUAGACAUAAGGCUUAUAGAGUAAUAAAAUGAUGAGUAAAUGAGAUAACUGCAAGCAUCAAAUAAGUUACUGGUCCUGGGAUAGAGGGAAUGGAGUCACUGUGGCUACGCGAACAAAAAGUGUGGCUGUCAGGACUCCGUCUUAGCUGUUCUGACUCCGUCUUAGUUUUCCUGUUACUGCUCCUGUGAAGAGGGAACUGCAUGGCCCAUUUCUGAGAAACAGAAACGAAAGCUGUCUUAUAAAAAAAUUGUUUUUCUGUUUUGUACCCCACAGAAUGUACCCAACUCGGGAUAUGGUGGUGGUGGUGAGCUGGGUUUGAGUACACUUAUGGGUCUACAUAACUUUGAAAUAGAUUAUCACCCUGAGCAAGCUGAAACUCAGGAUAGGUUGUCUAAAACUUUUUUGGACCAAGAUGCGGUUAAGCUAACUGCUUUUUUAGCUUCUGUAACUUGCUUGCUUACUAACUGGAAAAUUCCAGUCCUCCUUUGGUCCCACUGAUUACUGUUUUUUUUUUUUUUUUUAGAUUUUUUUUAGUUGUAGUUGGACACAACAUCUUUAUUUAAUUAAUUUAUUUUUUACGUGGUGCUGAAGAUCGAACCCAGCGCCUCGCAUAUGCUAGGCACACGCUCUACCACUCAGCCCCAGCCCCAGCCCCAGCCUUGAUUACUGUUUUAACUUCUGUGAUUGGCUUGCUUACAUGAUGCUAAACAAGCCACUGAGUUGUGGUGUUCGUCCUUAUAUUCCCAAGACACAGGCCAGGAAGCUGCUGUUCUCCCACAGAGCAUCAGUCUCUAUGGAUGGGUGACAGUCCCUGGCCAGGUAAAUAAAGCUCUCUUUUGUUUGAAUUUGUUUUCUGAGGUGGCUCCCCAUGACAUCUUGAUUUUUUUUUGUAGUUGUUGAUGAACCUUUAUUUAAUUUAUUUAUACUUGGUGCUGAGAAUCAAACCCAGUGCCUCCCACAUGCUAGGCAAGCACUCUACCAUUGAUCUACAACCCCAGUCUCCUCCUUUGAUUAUAAAAAAAUCUUAGACAUACAGAAAAUUAGAAAGGAUAGUAUAUCCAUUGUCCUACCUAGACUCCUAAUUCUUACUAUCUUUUCCAUGUCUGUUCUGUCAAUCUUUUAAACUAUUUAUAUACUGUAUUUUGACUCACUCCUAAGUAGUUCAUAGCCUGUAUUAAAUACAAGUACAUGUUCCUAU